AAUGUUUUAUGAUAUAGCUAUAUAUAUGUUUGAAACGGAAGAACCAUUAACUAUUAUUUGAAAAAAUAAAUAACACGUUUACAAUAAAUUUGAGAGAUACAUAUUAAGAAACCUGGACGUAUAAAGUAUGUAUAGCAAGUAUGUCCAAAUUUUCGAUAAGAAGUUUCAACAAUUGUUAUUAAUUGUUAAAUUAUAAUAUGUGUGUAUAUAUAUGUGUGUGUGCGCGCGCGCGCGUAUAUAUAUAUAAAACACAUAAAGAGAGAAAUUGAAAAAAAUAUUGUCAGCGAGUUGAUCGAAGAGCGCGCGAUUUCAGUGCUCCCAAUCUUGUGUACCUAUGUACUUAUACAUAUAAGAGACCACACAUUUGCAACCGAUAACUGAGUGAUAGAAGGAAGAAAAAGAGAGAGAAAGAGAGAGAGAGAGCGGCAUGGGGGAGAAGCUUGGGGAGAGAAUGAGAGGUAGUAAAAAAGUGGCCGAGCAGCCAACGAACACGGCCAAGUACGCGGCUCCUUCCCCGGAGGGUCGCACUGGUUAUUCGGCCUGCGAAUAAUAAUCAUAGCGGUCGCCCUCCUGGUCGUUUCGGUUUCCUUCUCUCUUUCCCUCGCGCGGAUCACCCUGUCGUCCGCUGCAUAGCAACAAGGACCGUUCUCUCUUUCGCUCUUAAGACUUGCCAGAGGCCCGUCCAUACACGAGACUGGAGAGGACGGAAAGCAUGCCAACGAAACAGAGAGGUGAUUGAGGGAGGAGGACGAAACACUCCGAAGCGAGGGAGUGAGAGGAUACGAGCAACCAUCUGAAGAGGAUAGAAAUAUAAACGGACGCAGAAAGAACGGCUGACAGAAUCUCUUUUGGAGGAAAAGGAUACGGGCAAGGAAAGAGAGGAUAACAGAGAAUAAAGAAACGGAAGAACAAGAGUGCUACGUAUGUCUGUACAUGUAGUUACAAAGGACUCCGUAGAGAAAACCAGGAAAAACUGCGAAAAAGAUGAACGGGACAAAUGACCAAGGAAAUAAGCUACGAAACGAGAAAGGCAACGGGAAUACAUGUUGAUGCUGGUCUGCGUUGACUAAAGAGCACAAAAAUAUAGACGGAGGAAUUAGAGGAAUAUAGAGAGAAUUACAACGAUUAAACGUCGAAAUAAUUGUUAAACAUGUUUGGAGAGUAAAGUGCACAGAACGAAAGAAAUAUAUGUAGAUAUGCACAAUUGUGUUUAUAUUGCAAAUUAUGUUAAUAUUGUAAUUUUGAAAUAACAUUAGAUAGUUCAUUUAUUAAAUAAGACUAAAUAAAAGAUCUAAGAUUUCUUACAUUUUUUAUUAAUUAUCGUUAAAACAUGCAAUAUUAAUCUGGCAAAUAUAUCAAAGAGUUUAUUUUUAAUAAUAAAUCUUGAAUAAGUCGAGCAAAAACAAUGAGAUAGAGGGAAAGUGAACGGAUUUAUAGAACUGUAGCAACAACCGUUAUUAGCUUGUUGCCAUAAAAAAAAGUGCAAGUUUGGAAUUCGCAAAAGCAAACGUAUGCUGCUACCCAAAGAGAACUGGAAAAAUCAAUUUAGAGCUCAACGGCUUAGAUGUGUGCAAAUAUCAUUUUCGGGAUUCAAAGGAGAAAGAAGAAGUCACAGCAGUUUGUUAAAUGGAGAAGAGAAUAUGGAUAAAUGGCUGUAUGAAAGCGCGCCUACAUCGUUACACGUGUAUCUGUGCAACUAUUAUAAUUAUUUUAUUACAAUAUAUUGUUAAAAUGUUGAAUUGUACUGGAAAAUGUUGAAUGUUUAAAUAUCAACUCGAUUAAGAUUCAUCAUUUACCAGAUCAUUACGAGAACAAUUCUAAGAAAACCUGGUUUCUCGGAUAAGUAGGAACCUAAGUUGUAAAAAUCUUCUAAUUAAUAAUCCGCACAUAAGCUACAAUUUAAAGGAAUCGAAGGGUUAACAAGAAAGGCAUGAAUCAAGGUUCUUGGCUGGUCCAGGAUGCAAAGGGUUCUUAGGACCAUAUGACUCAGCAAUCAUAUGGUUAGUGACGUCAGAGACCAGCAAAAUGAUCGAACUAGUAAAAGCAACGACCGAUAGAACAACACGGUGCACAGUGUAUGUAUAUAUAUAUAUAUAUAUAUAUAUCGUCGUUGUCGUGUACACACACACACACACACACGCGCGCGCGCGCGCGCGCGCGCGCGCGUAUAGCGUAUAGCGAUCCGGAUGCUAAUCCAUUCGUGCGUGCUAAAUCGACCAGUUUCUCCCAUCUACUAGGUCAGAUACAUAGAUAUAGAUGUUCUCACACGAGUCUUUCGUUUUCUUACAAUAGAAACGUGAAAUUUCGAACGACGCGCGAAGCGUCCAAGAUGUUGCGUACUGAUAACAAUAUCAAAUCACAGAGGUAACAACGAUUAUCUACGAUUUGUCAUUUAGAUUCUUUAAAGCAAAAGUUUGUAUUUCCUUUUUGAUAUUUUGCUUUUCCCAACAUAACGUUUGAUUACUUUAUAUUCCCAUUUACCGUUUGACAUUGCUGUUAAUAUUAAAACGAGAUGUUUCCGAUAUAUAUAUCUGCAAUAAUGUACUGCAAACAAUACUGCAAACAAAUAUAUAUCGUGCAGUUUAUCGAACAAUUUAUUAUAGCAGAAACAAUUUAUCUAUAUUGUGUCUUCAUUACAGAGGUACCUCUGUACCCAUUAAAAAAAAAAAAAA